GAUGAACGCUAGCGGCAGGCCUAAUACAUGCAAGUCGAGGGGCAGCAGGAAUAGCAAUAUUUGCUGGCGACCGGCGCACGGGUGCGUAACACGUAUACAAUCUGCCUUCUACAGGGGGAUAGCCUUUCGAAAGAGAGAUUAAUACCCCAUAACACAAGAAGUAGCAUUAUUUUUUGUUGAAAGAUCCGUCGGUAGAAGAUGAGUAUGCGGGUGAUUAGCUAGUUGGUGAGGUAACGGCUCACCAAGGCAACGAUCACUAGGGGAGCUGAGAGGACUACCCCCCACACUGGUACUGGGACACGGACCAGACUCCUACGGGAGGCAGCAGUAAGGAAUAUUGGACAAUGGAGGCAACUCUGAUCCAGCCAUGCCGCGUGCAGGAUGAAGGCCCUAUGGGUCGUAAACUGCUUUUGUACGAGAGAAAACCUAUUUACGUGUAGAUAGUUGAUAGUAUCGUAAGAAUAAGGAUCGGCUAACUUCGUGCCAGCCGCCGCGGUAAGAC
rnacentral:rRNA from 1 species